rnacentral:rRNA from 1 species
CCUUGGGUUUACGAGUAGGACAUUG